UGGCCUAUUUGAUAAGGCGUCGCUCUCCUAAAGUGAAGAUUACAGGUUCGAGUCCUGC
rnacentral:tRNA from 1 species